CCUACGGGGGGCAGCAGUGAGGAAUAUUGGUCAAUGGACGAGAGUCUGAACCAGCCAAGUAGCGUGAAGGAUGACUGCCCUAUGGGUUGUAAACUUCUUUUAUAUGGGAAUAAAAUGUUCCACGUGUGGGAUUUUGUAUGUACCAUAUGAAUAAGGAUCGGCUAACUCCGUGCCAGCAGCCGCGGUAAUACGGAGGAUCCGAGCGUUAUCCGGAUUUAUUGGGUUUAAAGGGAGCGUAGGUGGAUUGUUAAGUCAGUUGUGAAAGUUUGCGGCUCAACCGUAAAAUUGCAGUUGAAACUGGCAGUCUUGAGUAUAGUAGAGGUGGGCGGAAUUCGUGGUGUAGCGGUGAAAUGCUUAGAUAUCACGAAGAACUCCGAUUGCGAAGGCAGUUCACUGGACUGCAACUGACACUGAGGCUCGAAAGUGUGGGUAUCAAACAGGAUUAGAUACCCGAGUAGUC
rnacentral:rRNA from 1 species